rnacentral:snoRNA from 1 species
AAGACAACCCAUGAAUCUGCUGACCUGAUUAUGUUAAUGCAGACAUUUAGAAAAAGCUGGUGAUAACAAUGCCAUGUUAUAAGGCACAAUAACAUUAAUGUCACUGAAAGUGGUUUUGGAA